UAAGGAAUAUUGCUCAAUGGGCGCAAGCCUGACCCAGCAACGCCGCGUGAGGGAAGAAGGCUUUCGGGUUGUAAACCUCUGUCCCUGGUGACGAAACAAAUGACGGUAGCCAAGGAGGAAGCCCCGGCUAACUACGUGCCAGCAGCCGCGGUAAUACGUAGGGGGCGAGCGUUGUCCGGAAUUACUGGGCGUAAAGGGUGCGUAGGUGGCCUUUUAAGUUGGAUGUGAAAUACCCGGGCUUAACUUGGGGGGUGCAUCUAAUACUGGAGGGCUAGAGUGCAGGAGAGGAAAGCGGAAUUCCUAGUGUAGCGGUGAAAUGCGUAGAUAUUAGGAGGAACACCAGUGGCGAAGGCGGCUUUCUGGACUGUAACUGACACUGAGGCACGAAAGCGUGGGGAGCAAACA
rnacentral:rRNA from 1 species